GGGCCUAGUGGAACCCAGGGUUUGGUGC
rnacentral:piRNA from 1 species